rnacentral:rRNA from 1 species
UACGUAGGACAGCGAGCGUUGUUCGGAGUUACUGGGCGUAAAGGGUGUGUAGGCGGUUGUUUAAGUUUGGUGUGAAAUCUCCCGGCUCAACUGGGAGGGUGCGCCGAAUACUGAAUGACUAGAGUACGGGAGAGGAAAGUGGAAUUCCUGGUGUAGCGGUGAAAUGCGUAGAUAUCAGGAGGAACACCGGUGGGUGUAGACGGCUUUCUGGACCGUAACUGACGCUGAAACACGAAAGCGUGGGUAGCAAACAGG